CAGCCGCCACGGUAAUACGAAGGGUGCAAGCGUUAAUCGGAAUUACUGGGCGUAAAGCGUGCGUAGGCGGUGAGUUAAGUCUGCUGUGAAAUCCCCGGGCUCAACCUGGGAAUGGCAGUGGAUACUGGCUCGCUAGAGUGUGUCAGAGGAUGGUGGAAUUCCCGAUGUAGCGGUGAAAUGCGUAGAGAUCGGGAGGAACAUCAGUGGCGAAGGCGGCCAUCUGGGACAACACUGACGCUGAGGCACGAAAGCGUGGGGAGCAAACAGGAUUAGAUACCCGCGUAGUCCCUGUCUCUUAUAC
rnacentral:rRNA from 1 species